rnacentral:rRNA from 1 species
AGCUCCAGUAGCGUAUAUUAACGUUGUUGCAGUUAAAAAGCUCGUAGUUGGAUUUCUGGUGAGACUAACCCGGCCCCAUCCGUAUGGAUGCGAGUGCUGGAGUUUAUCUGCCAUCCUUCUAGAGAACGGGUCUGCCCUUGAUUGGGUCGGAGCCGCUAUCUAGAUCUUUUACUUUGAAAAAAUUAGAGUGUUUAAAGCAGGCAUUGCAUUGAAUACAUUAGCAUGGAAUAAUAAUAUAGGACUUUGGUCUUAUUUUGUUGGUUUCUAAGGCGAAAGUAAUGAUUGAUAGGGAUAGUUGGGGGUGCUAGUAUUCAGCGGCCAGAGGUGAAAUUCUUGGAUUCGCUGAAGACUAACUUAUGCGAAAGCAUUCACCAAGGAUGUCUUCU